CUACGUAGCUCAGAGUUUGAUCCUGGCUCAGGACGAACGCUGGCGGCGUGCCUAACACAUGCAAGUCGAACGGGACUUUUGGCUUCGGCCGAAAGUUUAGUGGCGAACGGGUGAGUAACGCGUGAGGAACCUGCCUUUCAGUGGGGGACAACAGUUGGAAACGACUGCUGAUACCGCAUAAUGUGUUUUGGGGGCAUCCCCUGAACACCAAAGCUUUAUGUGCUGAAAGAUGGCCUCGCGUCUGAUUAGAUAGUUGGUGAGGUAACGGCUCACCAAGUCUGCGAUCAGUAGCCGGUCUGAGAGGAUGAACGGCCACAUUGGGACUGAGAUACGGCCCAG
rnacentral:rRNA from 1 species